GCCGGGCGCGGUGGCGCGCGCCUGUAGUCCCAGCUACUCGGGAGGCUGAGGCAGGAGGAUCGCUUGAGCCCAGGAGUUCUGGGCUGUAGUGCGCUAUGCCGAUCGGGUGUCCGCACUAAGUUCGGCAUCAAUAUGGUGACCUCCCGGGAGCGGGGGACCACCAGGUUGCCUAAGGAGGGGUGAACCGGCCCAGGUCGGAAACGGAGCAGGUCAAAACUCCCGUGCUGAUCAGUAGUGGGAUCGCGCCUGUGAAUAGCCACUGCACUCCAGCCUGGGCAACAUAGCGAGACCCCGUCUCUU
ensembl:misc_RNA Metazoa_SRP Metazoan signal recognition particle RNA